GGGCCUGUAGCAUAACCCGGACAGUGCAACCGGCUUCGGACCGGUUCAUCAGGGUUCGAAUCCCUGCAGGCUCA
rnacentral:tRNA from 3 species